rnacentral:rRNA from 1 species
GAUCCUGGCUCGGGAUGAACGCUGGCGGCGUGCUUAACACAUGCAAGUCGAACGAAGCACUUUAUUUGAUUUCCUUCGGGACUGAUUAUUUUGUGACUGAGUGGCGGACGGGUGAGUAACGCGUGGGUAACCUGCCUUGUACAGGGGGAUAACAGUUGGAAACGGCUGCUAAUACCGCAUAAGCGCACAGCAUCGCAUGAUGCAGUGUGAAAAACUCCGGUGGUAUAAGAUGGACCCGCGUUGG